AGCAUACCAUGGGUGGCGAGUGGCGGACGGGUGAGGAAUACAUCGGAAUCUACCUUUUCGUGGGGGAUAACGUAGGGAAACUUACGCUAAUACCGCAUACGACCUUAGGGUGAAAGCGGAGGACCUUCGGGCUUCGCGCGGAUAGAUGAGCCGAUGUCGGAUUAGCUAGUUGGCGGGGUAAAGGCCCACCAAGGCGACGAUCCGUAGCUGGUCUGAGAGGAUGAUCAGCCACACUGGAACUGAGACACGGUCCAGACUCCUACGGGAGGCAGCAGUGGGGAAUAUUGGACAAUGGGCGCAAGCCUGAUCCAGCCAUGCCGCGUGGGUGAAGAAGGCCUUCGGGUUGUAAAGCCCUUUUGUUGGGAAAGAAAAGCAGUCGGUUAAUACCCGAUUGUUCUGACGGUACCCAAAGAAUAAGCACCGGCUAACUUCGUGCCAGCAGCCGCGGUAAUACGAAGGGUGCAAGCGUUACUCGGAAUUACUGGGCGUAAAGCGUGCGUAGGUGGUUGUUUAAGUCCGUUGUGAAAGCCCUGGGCUCAACCUGGGAAUUGCAGUGGAUACUGGGCAACUAGAGUGUGGUAGAGGAUGG
rnacentral:rRNA from 1 species